GACGAACGCUGGCGGCGUGCUUAACACAUGCAAGUCGAACGAAGAGCGAUGGAAGCUUGCUUCUAUCAAUCUUAGUGGCGAACGGGUGAGUAACGCGUAAUCAACCUGCCCUUCAGAGGGGGACAACAGUUGGAAACGACUGCUAAUACCGCAUACGAUCCAAUCUCGGCAUCGGGACUGGAUGAAAGGUGGCCUCUAUUUAUAAGCUAUCACUGAAGGAGGGGAUUGCGUCUGAUUAGCUAGUUGGAGGGGUAACGGCCCACCAAGGCGAUGAUCAGUAGCCGGUCUGAGAGGAUGAACGGCCACAUUGGGACUGAGACACGGCCCAGACUCCUACGGGAGGCAGCAGUGGGGAAUCUUCCGCAAUGGACGAAAGGCUGACGGAGCAACGCCGCGUGAGUGAUGACGGCCUUCGGGUUGUAAAGCUCUGUUAAUCGGGACGAAUGGUUCUUGUGCGAAUAGUGCGAGGAUUUGACGGUACCGGAAUAGAAAGCCACGGCUAACUACGUG
rnacentral:rRNA from 1 species